UUCCACUUAAUCUAAGUCCAAUAUAUGUGGCCCGAUUUGGGUUGCAUGUUUUGAGUUGACCCAAAAUAAUUUAACGGACUGGUAAUAGAGACUAAUUGUUUUAGUUUCUUAUCGGUGAAUCAUUCAAAUUUCUGUUCUAUCAAUUUAUGAAGGUAGGGUAGUGGCCUACCUUGAUUAUUACGGAUACGGGGGAUCAGGGUUCGAUACCGGAGAGGAGGCCUGAGAGACGGCCGCCACAUCUAAGGAAGGCAGCAGGCGCGGAAAUUACCCUAAUCUCGACAUGAGGAGGUAGUGACAAGAAAUAUCAACACAGGUUCCUUUUAGGGAUUUGUUAAGUUGAAAUGAGGACAGUUUAAACUUCUUACCGAGGAGCUAUUAGAGGGCAAGUUGGGUGCCAGCAGCCGCGGUAAUACCCACUCUAAAAGUGUAUGUUAAAGUUGUUGCAGUUAAAACGCUCGUAGUUGGAUUUAUUGAACAUAUUCAACUUCUUGAUGAUAAUUUCAAUUGUCAGGAGGUUUUCUUGUUUUCGGGUUUAAAGUUUGGAGGAAAGUCAAUCGACUUUCGCCUUAUGGUUUGCCUGAUUCGGGAAGUGUUCUUUUAUGUUACUUUGAAUAAAAUUUGGUGUUCAAAGCAUGUUUAUUUUCCGAGGGCUUGUUCUUUUCAUUAAGGACCCCUCGGAAACCUUUUAACCGCAUGAAAAUUUUAGCAUGGGAUAACAAAAAGAUACGUUAAUAUUUUUUGUUGGAUUUUUAAUAACGUGUAAUGGUUAAAUAGGGACAGACUCGGGGGCGUAAGUAUUGUGUAGGUAGAGGUGGAAUUCGAUGAUCUACACAGGACUGACUGAAGCGAAGGCGUUUCGUCAAGGAUGUUUUCGUUGAUCAAGAACGAAAGUUAGGGGAUCGAAGACGAUUAGACACCGUCGUAGUCCUAACCGUAAACUAUCUCGACUAGGGAUUGGAGUAGGUAAUUGUCAUUUAGACAAUUGAACUAUUUCAGGACCUUCAGAGAAAUCGUUAAGUUUUUGGAGUCUGGGGGGAAGUAUGAUCGCAAGGUUGAAACUUAAACGGAAUUGACGGAAGAGCACCACAAGAGAUGGAGCUUGUUGCUUAAUUCGACCCAACGCGGGGAAGCUUACCAGGACUGGACUAAGAUAGGAUUGACAGGCUAAUGGGUCUUUCAAGAUUCUUAGAAUGGUGGUGCAUGGCCGUUCUUAGUUGGUGAAGUGAUUUGUCUGUGUUAAUUCCGUUAACGAGCGAGACCUUAACCUGCUAACUAGUUUUUUAACUUGGAAAGUGUAAAAGUGCC
rnacentral:rRNA from 1 species